rnacentral:rRNA from 1 species
UAGAGUUUGAUCCUGGCUCAGGACGAACGCUGGCGGCGUGCCUAACACAUGCAAGUCGAGCGGAGUUAUAGCAGUUAGCUUGCUAACAGCAAUAACUUAGCGGCGGACGGGUGAGUAACGCGUGAGCAACCUACCUUAUAGAGGGGGAUAACACAUCGAAAGGUGUGCUAAUACCGCAUGAUAUUAUUAGUUUGCAUGAACUAAUAAUCAAAGGAGCAAUCCGCUAUAAGAUGGGCUCGCGUCUGAUUAGCUAGUUGGUAGGGUAGAUGCCUACCAAGGCGACGAUCAGUAGCCGACCUGAGAGGGUGACCGGCCACAUUGGGACUGAGACACGGCCCAGACUCCUACGGGAGGCAGCAGUGGGGGAUAUUGCGCAAUGGGGGAAACCCUGACGCAGCGACGCCGCGUGAAGGAAGAAGGUCUUCGGAUCGUAAACUUCUUUGAUUAGGGAAGAAACAUGACAGUACCUAAAGAACAAGCCACGGCUAACUACGUGCCAGCAGCCGCGGUAAUACGUAGGUGGCGAGCGUUGUCCGGAAUUACUGGGUGUAAAGGGCGUGUAGGCGGGUAAGCAAGUCAGAUGUGAAAUACCGGGGCUCAACCUCGGGGCUGCAUUUGAAACUGUUUAUCUUGAGUGCAGGAGAGGGAAGCGGAAUUCCUAGUGUAGCGGUGAAAUGCGUAGAUAUUAGGAGGAACACCAGUGGCGAAGGCGGCUUCCUGGACUGUAACUGACGCUGAGGCGCGAAAGCGUGGGUAGCGAACAGGAUUAGAUACCCUGGUAGUCCACGCCGUAAACGAUGGAUGCUAGGUGUAGGAGGUAUCGACCCCUUCUGUGCCGGAGUUAACACAAUAAGUAUCCCACCUGGGGAGUACGGCCGCAAGGCUGAAACUCAAAGGAAUUGACGGGGGCCCGCACAAGCAGUGGAGUAUGUGGUUUAAUUCGAAGCAACGCGAAGAACCUUACCAGGGCUUGACAUCUACAGAAUCCCAUAGAGAUAUGGGAGUGCCUUCGGGAACUGUAAGACAGGUGGUGCAUGGUUGUCGUCAGCUCGUGUCGUGAGAUGUUGGGUUAAGUCCCGCAACGAGCGCAACCCUUAUCGUUAGUUGCCAGCAAGUAAAGUUGGGCACUCUAGCGAGACUGCCGGUGACAAAUCGGAGGAAGGUGGGGACGACGUCAAAUCAUCAUGCCCCUUAUGUCCUGGGCUACACACGUACUACAAUGGCCGUUAACAGCGGGAAGCGAAGCAGCGAUGUGGAGCGAAUCCCCAAAAACGGUCCCAGUUCGGAUUGUAGGCUGCAACUCGCCUACAUGAAGUCGGAAUUGCUAGUAAUCGCGGAUCAGCAUGCCGCGGUGAAUACGUUCCCGGGCCUUGUACACACCGCCCGUCACACCAUGAGAGUCGGAAACACCCGAAGCCUGUGAGCUAACCUUAGGGAGGCAGCAGUCGAAGGUGGGUCUGAUGAUUAGGGUGAAGUCGUAACAAGGUAACC